UCCCGAAUGGUGGAGUGGCUAACAUAUCGCGUUUCACCCCGGGGUUCGGGGUUCCGUUCGAUUCCCCGUUCGGGAG